CACAGAUUGAUGAACAUUGAAAUUAAUUAGAAGUGAUAUUUCAAUAUCACUAUUCACCACUUCUCUAUAAUAGAAGUGUCAACCAAAUUCAUGAUCGACAAUGACAGAUGGAAACACACACAUGCGAUUGG